UACGGGGGGGGCAAGCGUUGUUCGGAAUUACUGGGCGUAAAGGGCUCGUAGGCGGCCAACUAAGUCGGACGUGAAAUCCCCAGGCUCAACCUGGGAACUGCGUCCGAUACUGGAUGGCUUGAAUUCGGGAGAGGAUGCAGAAUUCCAGGUGUAGCGGUGAAAUGCGUAGAUAUCUGGAGGAAUACCGGUGGCGAAGGCGGCAUCCUGGACCGACAUUGACGCUGAGGAGCGAAAGCUAGGGGAGCAAACGGG
rnacentral:rRNA from 1 species